CUGGACUAGCCAGCAUACAAGCGAAACAAAUAAAUUUUGAGGAGAGAAUGUGCAAUGUUGAGGCGGUAGAAAACCCCACAACUAAAGCAGCAAUAAUGACAACAACCAACUCGACUAUAACAGCAACAUUGUAAAAUAAUAAAUAGCAAAACGGCCGACUCUACUCGACAGCCAACCCAACACAGACAGACCUCGUUCGUACGACAGGUGCGUGCGUGUAAAUAAAGUCAAAGCCAACCAGACAUCAAUUCCAAUGGCCAGCUGCUGGUCAGGUGAGCGGCCAGUCGGCCUCAGUCCGCUAAGCAAUCAAACGGCCAGCCAGCCGGUCAGCAAGUUAAGCAUACGAACUUAAUACGAGCUAACUAAAGGUAUGCGGCCAACGAACAAAUGAACAAAUGAUUAAAUAACAACAAAGGCAACAACUAUAUAAAAGGCCACAACUAAAAUAGAGUGAGAAAAAACGAAUUGGAAAAAAUUAAUACUAAUCGAAAUAAACAGUGCCAACAAAUCAGCAGAAAUAAGGGAAAUCUGCGUAGACAGCGCGCGGUAGCAAAUGGAUUGAGUGAGUGACGCGUCGACUCAAGAUCGGCACGCGCAGCUUUAUGGUGUUGGUGCCACCACACCACUGUUGCCGAGGCUGAGGCGGAUGGCUGCUGCUAGUUCGGGCUAAUGCCGCUGCCGCUUGGAGAUGUUGGAUGGUGUCGUUGUCGUUGUCGUUGUCGCUGCUGGAGACGCUGAUGCUGAGGAUGGCAGCCGCAUAAAACUGGUAUGGUUGCAUUUUUGUGUAUACACGUUAUUAUUUACUCACAAUCAGUUUUUAAAUAUUUCGAAUUGUUCAGUAGUAAUCAACAAACAAACGGACAGUCAAACUUGUGAAAAAACGCAAAAAACACAAAAUUUAUGUUAAAUUUCAUUUGGCAUUUAGAAAUUGUGCGCUUGCAAAUUAAUAUUGAUAAAAAAUCCGAGAUUUUAUAUCUACUAAUUUAACGACGUAAACGAUAAAAAUAUGAGUGUUCCUAAAAAAUUUGGCGAUGUAUUA
rnacentral:lncRNA from 1 species